rnacentral:rRNA from 1 species
UACGGUGGGGGGCAGGUGUCAUUCAUAGGGGACUGGGCGUUAAAGGGUUCGUAUGGUGUUCUUUCGGACAAUACUAUUGGAGCUAGUUUUCAUUUUACUAUGUGUUUUAGGGUAUUUGAUCCAAAGAAUAGAGUAUAGCAUAAGAUUUGGGUACUCUUCAAUGGAGAGGUGAAAUUCGGAGAUAUUCGGAAGAACACCAGUGGCGAAGGCGGCUCACUGGACUGGUAUUGACGCUGAGGUGCGAAAGCGUGGGGAGCAAACGGG